rnacentral:rRNA from 1 species
GGAGCUUGCUCCUCUGACGUUAGCGGCGGACGGGUGAGUAACACGUGGAUAACCUACCUAUAAGACUGGGAUAACUUCGGGAAACCGGAGCUAAUACCGGAUAACAUGUUGAACCGCAUGGUUCAACAGUGAAAGACGGUCUUGCUGUCACUUAUAGAUGGAUCCGCGCCGCAUUAGCUAGUUGGUAAGGUAACGGCUUACCAAGGCAACGAUGCGUAGCCAACCUGAGAGGGUGAUCGGCCACACUGGAACUGAGACACGGUCCAGACUCCUACGGGAGGCAGCAGUAGGGAAUCUUCCGCAAUGGGCGAAAGCCUGACGGAGCAACGCCGCGUGAGUGAUGAAGGUCUUCGGAUCGUAAAACUCUGUUAUUAGGGAAGAACAAAUGUGUAAGUAACUAUGCACGUCUUGACGGUACCUAAUCAGAAAGCCACGGCUAACUACGUGCCAGCAGCCGCGGUAAUACGUAGGUGGCAAGCGUUAUCCGGAAUUAUUGGGCGUAAAGCGCGCGUAGGCGGUUUUUUAAGUCUGAUGUGAAAGCCCACGGCUCAACCGUGGAGGGUCAUUGGAAACUGGAAAACUUGAGUGCAGAAGAGGAAAGUGGAAUUCCAUGUGUAGCGGUGAAAUGCGCAGAGAUAUGGAGGAACACCAGUGGCGAAGGCGACUUUCUGGUCUGUAACUGACGCUCAUGUGCGAAAGCGUGGGGAUCAAACAGGAUUAGAUACCCUGGUAGUCCACGCCGUAAACGAUGAGUGCUAAGUGUUAGGGGGUUUCCGCCCCUUAGUGCUGCAGC